rnacentral:rRNA from 1 species
UGGGGAAUAUUGGACAAUGGGCGCAAGCCUGAUCCAGCAAUGCCGCGUGUGUGAAGAAGGCCUUCGGGUUGUAAAGCACUUUUAUCAGGAGCGAAACGCUGUCGGCUAAUACCCGGCGGAACUGACGGUACCUGAGGAAUAAGCACCGGCUAACUUCGUGCCAGCAGCCGCGGUAAUACGAAGGGUGCAAGCGUUAAUCGGAAUUACUGGGCGUAAAGCGUGCGUAGGCGGUUUCUUAAGUCUGCUGUGAAAUCCCCGGGCUCAACCUGGGAAUGGCAGUGGAUACUGGGAGGCUAGAGUGUGUCAGAGGGUGGUGGAAUUCCCGGUGUAGCGGUGAAAUGCGUAGAGAUCGGGAGGAACAUCAGUGGCGAAGGCGGCCACCUGGGACAACACUGACGCUGAGGCACGAAAGCGUGGGGAGCAAACAGGAUUAGAUACCCUGGUAGUCCACGCCCUAAAGCGAUGCGAACUGGAUGUUGGUCUCAACUCGGAGAUCAGUGUCGAAGCUAACGCGUUAAGUUCGCCGCCUGGGGAGUACGGUCGCAAGACUGAAACUUAAA